rnacentral:rRNA from 1 species
AUUGAACGCUGGCGGCCGGCCUAACACAUGCAAGUCGAGCGAGCGGAGGACGGGUGAGUAAUGUCUGGGAAACUGCCUGAUGGAGGGGGAUAACUACUGGAAACGGUAGCUAAUACCGCAUACCAUCAGAUGUGCCCCGAUGGGAUUAGCUAGUAGGUGGGGUAAUGGCUCACCUAGGCGACGAUCCCUAGCUGGUCUGAGAGGAUGACCAGCCACACUGGAACUGAGCCACGGUCCGGACUCCUACGGGAGGCAGCAGUGGGGACUAUUGCGCAAUGGUCGCAAGCCUGAUGCAGCCAUGCCGCGUGUAUGAAGAAGGCCUUCGUGUUGUAAAGUACUUUCAGCGGGGAGGCGUUACCCGCAGAAGAAGCACCGGCUAACUCCGUGCCAGCAGCCGCGGUAAUAC